CAAAGGUGAAGUAAUUGGCUCAGAGUUAAACAGCCUGACAACAGAAGAGACAAGCACCGCAUCUUCCGGUCUAAAAUCCCUCUCGAGGGUUCAGGAUACAGGAAAAGUAGUUAUGCCUGAAGAUAAGUUGCUGACUUCGCUUCUACUUCAGUCACCCCUUUCUGAUCUUCCCAAGAAGAAAUAAAGAAUGAACAUUAAGGACAAUUAUGAAGCAAUACCCACAAUAAAACAAGAAUGAGAUCAUUUUAUUAUUCAAGGAACUGAAAUAAUGUAGAAUUCAUGGAGAGAAGAUGGGGAAGGAUAUUGUAAGGAGAAGGAAUAGCAUGAGC